rnacentral:tRNA from 1 species
CGUAGCUCAAUGGGUAGAGCGCCAGUUUGUGGCACUGGUGGUUGCAGGUUCGAAUCCUGUCG